rnacentral:misc_RNA from 1 species
GUAUUAGAUUUUUAAAAUCAUGUUCCAUUACAUUUUUACAGUGGGUGUUUAAAAAUGCAUAGACAGGGGAAACAAAUCCCCUAUCUACGUAUGGUGCACAGGUGGGUAAAGAGGUGUUUUCGGAGUGCACAUACAGAGCCCUUUGGGGGGGCCUUGCCAGCACAUCCUUUUAGAAUCGAUAAUGAUCCUUCCGCAGGUUCACCUACGGAAA